CAGUGCUUACAGCUCUUUUUUGAAUCUGUCCAACAGGUCUUCUGGCUUUUACUGGAAGGCCCUA